rnacentral:lncRNA from 1 species
CACACAUACACUUGAAGCACACACAUACACAUUCUGCACACACUCGUACAUCUCCCUGCUUGUCCAGCUACAAUCUAAAAGCAGAGAGAGAGAGCGAGACAUAAAGCCCUUAAAUUGAAUUGAAUUGAAUUGUAGAGAGUGAGAGAGAGAAAUGUAGAGAGAGAGAUAUGUAGAGAGAGAGAUAUGUAGAGAGAGAGAGAAAGAUGUAGAGAGAGAGAUGUAGAGAGAGAGAUGUAGAGUGAGAGAUGUGUAGAGAGAGAUGUAGAGAGAGAGAUGUAGAGAGAGAUAUGUAGAGAGAUAUGUAGAGAGAGAUAUGUAGAGAGAGAGAUGUAGAGAGAGAUGUAAGAGAGAGAUGUAGAGAGAGAGAGAUGUAUGUAGAGAGAGAGAGAGAUGUAGAGAGAAUGUAGAGAGAGAGAGAGAGAUAUGUAAGAGAGAGAUGUAGAGAGGGAGAUGUAGAGAGAGAGGUGUAGAGAGAGAUGUAUAUGUAGAGAGGGAGAUGUAGAGAGGGAGAUGUAGAGAGAGAGAUGUAAGAGAGAUAUAUAUGUAGAGAGUGAGAGAUGUAGAGAGGGAGAUGUAGAGAGAGUCUACAAGUCUAAAGUAUGGAGGGAGGGAUAGAGGGAGAGGAGGGAGGGAUAGAGGGAGAGUAGGGAGGGAUAGAGGGAGAGUAGGGAGGGAUAGAGGGAGGGAGGGAUAGAGGGAGAGUAUGGAGGGAUAGAAGGAGAGUAUGGAGGGAGGGAUAGAGG